rnacentral:misc_RNA from 1 species
GCCGGAGUUGCUUCCAAUUUCCGAUGACGGAGCAAAACGCUGACGAAGCCAACACUGUUCAAACUUCGCUUGACAAUGUAAAACCGGCAAUAGUUGCUUGCUCUCAUUCCGACACCGCCCAGAAAUCAGAACCACUAAUUGAAGAACUACAAGAUGAAGAACUAAGGAAACUUUUGGUGCCGAAGUUAGAAAACCUCCCAAUUUAUCCUCCUUCUGCUGUUGAAUCCAAUUUCAUCACCUA